rnacentral:rRNA from 1 species
CCUACGGGUGGCAGCAGUGAGGAAUAUUGGUCAAUGGGCUUACGCCUGAACCAGCCAAGUCGCGUGAGGGAAGACUGCCCUAUGGGUUGUAAACCUCUUUUGUCAGGGAGCAAUUGGCGCUACGUGUAGCGUUAUCGAGAGUACCUGAAGAAAAAGCAUCGGCUAACUCCGUGCCAGCAGCCGCGGUAAUACGGAGGAUGCGAGCGUUAUCCGGAUUUAUUGGGUUUAAAGGGUGCGUAGGCGGGAGCGCAAGUCAGAUGUGAAAACUCAGGGCUCAACCCUGGGACUGCUCUUGGAACUGCGUGGCUGGAGUGCAGGAGGGGCAGGCGGAAUUCCUGGUGUAGCGGUGAAAUGCGUAGAUAUCAGGAGGAACACCGGUGGCGAAGGCGGCCUGCUGGACUGCAACUGACGUUGAGGCCCGAAAGCGUGGGGAGCAAACAGGAUUAGAUACCCGGGUAGUC